AGGACCUUUCAUUAACUCGUAGCUCUUUUUGGUGCUCAACAGGAAAUUCGGGUCCCCGCGCCCCUCUUAUUUCUAGUUUCCAAUUAAACCUUGCUUCUUGGCAUUUUUCCAGGACCUCGUGUAAAGUUUGCGUGUUUCCGGUUUCACCUUCCUAUUUGAUUACCAUGGCGACAGUAGAGCCGCUCUUCACGCCGGAAGAGUCAUCUCUAUGACUUUAUCAAGCGCGGGAAGUUGCAAGUUCGGUGACUUUUUUUGCCUCGGGUAGAGACUGGGAGGAUUUAUCAAUGGCGGGCCGUCGAGGGGCUUUGAUUGUCUUGGAGGGGGUUGACCGAGCAGGCAAAAGCACACAGAGCCGAAGGCUCGUGGAGGCCCUCUGGGCAGGAGGAUACCAGGCCGAACUUCUCCGGUUUCCCGAAAGGUCAACAGAAACUGGACAGCUAAUAAGUUCUUACUUGGAAAAGAAAAACAAUUUGGAGGACCACACAGUGCAUCUACUGUUUUCUGCGAAUCGUUGGGAGCAAGUGCCAUCUAUUAAAGAAAAAUUAAGCCAAGGUGUCACUCUAAUAGUGGACAGAUAUGCCUUUUCUGGAGUAGCCUUCACGGGUGCAAAAGAAAACUUCUCUUUGGAAUGGUGCAAGCAACCAGAUGUGGGGCUUCCAAAGCCAGAUUUGAUCCUUUUUCUUCAAUUGAGCACGUCGGAAGCAGCUAAACGAGGAGAAUUUGGAAAUGAACGCUAUGAGAAUACAUCUUUUCAGGAGAAAGUUCUCCAGUGCUUUCACCAUCUUAUAAAAGAUAAAUCUUUAAACUGGAAGUUGAUUGAUGCUUCGAAGAGUGUAGAAGAUUUGCACAAAGAAAUUAAAUCCUUUGCAGAAGAAGCUAUGCAAGAAGCUCAGCACAAACCUCUAGGAGAACUAUGGAAAUGAAAUUUACGUAAAUCCUGAAAGUCAGGGCUUAUUUAAUCAAAUUCUGCACUAUUUGCAUUCAUAUAUUCAGUGAACCUGUGUGUGUGUACCUAUAUUUGAGAGGCCAAGUAGGUUUCAUUUGCUAAUCUUUACUACUAAUCAGUUCCUCUACAGACUGUGGAGUUUUAGAAAAGUGAAGCUUGUCCUUUCAUUAGAAAGCAAUUUUGCAGGGACUCAAAAGGAAUGAAUGGAGUAAUAUCUUCUAUGUUCCAUUUAGAUAAGACUUGCUAUGUUCAGUACUGAAGUUUUUCUAUAAAUAUAUGGAAUGAAAUCAUGUGUAUGAGUGCAUUAACUUUUUUUCACUAUAAUAAGGUUUUGUGUGUGUUUGUAAUAUUCCAUUGUAAUAUGUAGAGUAAGUCUAUAGAUAAAAUAUUUCAAAAUAUACAGUGGGCAUGCUUGGCUAAUGACAUUUAAUAAUUUAAGGUAUUAACUCUGUGUGUGUGUGUGUGUGUGUGUGUGUGUGUGUGUGUGUAGAUUCUAAAGGAAGUUUGAUGCCAGUGAUAUAACAGCUUAAAAUAGUGUUUGUAUGUAUAGAGGCUGGUAAUAAUCCUCCAAGCUGACACAGACUCUUCCAGACAUUGUAGAAAGACAACUAGGUUAGUCUUUGGAAGACAAAAAUCUGGUAGCAUCUUUUUAAAUUAACAUUUUAUUCUAUUGUAUAUUGAAUUAAACCAAAAUAAUAAACUCUUUUGUCCCAAUUGAUAAAACUUGUCAGGAAUAUCUAUUGGAAGAGUUUGAAAUAGAUCAAUUUGGGGAAUGAUAUCUUCAUUGCUGAUAUAUGGCCUAAAAUCUUAAAAUAAUUUCUGUUCCACAUUUUUAUAUUCUUACUUUAUCCCAAGCAAAGCCAUAAUUAUUAUUGAAUAACUUAUUUAAAUUCUUUAAUAUGUUAAUAUUUAUGUUUUCUUAUAUUUUAUGUGAUUGAUUUUAUAUUCAAAUGAAAUUUCUAAAAUAGUGGAUACAAUUUUUUCUUACAAGAUCUCAUGAUUUCAAGCAGAAACUUGGGAGAAUAUCCCGGUGAUCAUGUGAGCAGUUCUGUUGAGUACCUGGUGCUCAGUGGCAAUAGGGGAUGAUGCAGACAUUUGCUGAGACCAGCCUCCCUGUAUUGGCAGAAGGCUCCCUAGUGGACUGAGGAGCUCCUGCAUUGCUAGAAGAUGUAAGAAGAUACCCUAUCUGCCAGGACUCUGCCCCUCGACUUAGAACAGGAUCAGGAUGCUGAACCAGAUAAGUCUUUGGCCUGCUCCAGCAGGGCACGGAGCAAGGGGUGAGAAAUGGAGGCAAAAGAAAGAAAGGCUGAAAUGGAAAUACCAGAUGGCACCUUCAACUUCCAGCUAUCGUAAGCUCUUCAACAAGUUACUGUAGUCAACAAUAUCAAAAUUCACAGAAAGAUUUAUUUAUUUAUUUAUUAGACUUAUAUACCGCUUCAUAGGGCUUUCAGCUCCAACAGAAUCAUAUUCCCCACCUCACUCUUUCCUAGUACAGAAUAUCCAAAAAAGUGAUCAAGACAGUCACCACAUGUAAACCGAAGAGGAAAGGUUCAAGGAAAACUGACUUAUUUAAAUAUUCCUGAGAUUGCAAUGCUACUGUCUUCUUCAGCAGUUUGUCUUAAUAUAGAACAUCAGAUACUUCUGAAGCUUAUUAAAAUCUAUUAAGUCUAAUUAUGGCCUUCUUUGAAGCAAAAGCCUCAUCCUUUUUUUUCCUGUAAGGUUACAGACAAUUCAACAUGCGAAAGAAGUAUUACUGAUCUGAGUAUUACUGAUCUAUCAUUGGCAGGAUAGAACUGUUUGAGGCUGAGGAACAUUUCUUUAGAGAAGUAGUAAUAUUAACAGAAUGAAAACCUGUAUCCAUGUCCUCACAAAACAAGUAAUGAAACUAAUUCAGGCAGAUAUUAACAGAAAAUGUGAUAGAUUGCCUAGGUAUAGCUCUAGCACAAAGCUGAGCAAAUACAGCUGCAAAGAAUAAUAUAAAUUGCUCAGGUGAUUUUGGGGCACAAGGUAGACCAACUGGAAGAUCUACCUACAAACUCUAGAAAUAUCCCAUGGAAUUUAGUAUACCAAGAUUAGAUACAGAAUUUUGGAGGCAUACUGAGUGGAAAAUCAAUUUUAACAUUUCAUUGGGAUAGGUAAUUUAACUGCUUUAUUUUAUACAGUAUCUAAAACCAUAA